UACGUAGGGUGCGAGCGUUGUCCGGAAUUAUUGGGCGUAAAGAGCUCGUAGGCGGUCUGUCGCGUCGAAUGUGAAAACCCGGGGCUCAACUCCGGGCUUGCAUUCGAUACGGGCUGGCUAGAGUGUGGUAGGGGAGAUCGGAAUUCCUGGUGUAGCGGUGAAAUGCGCAGAUAUCAGGAGGAACACCGGUGGCGAAGGCGGAUCUCUGGGCCAUUACUGACGCUGAGGAGCGAAAGCGUGGGGAGCGAACAGG
rnacentral:rRNA from 1 species